rnacentral:lncRNA from 1 species
GAUAUCUAGUUAAAUAAGUCAUUAUAAAUAGUUGCUCCGUGGGCUUUCCGCAUUUCACCCUGCUCCAGGCAGCGUGGUCUGUAUGGCUCCGCCCUGGGCAGGAGGAGAAAGAAGAGGGCCAGGCACCACGUGCCUGCACUCUCCCUGGAUGCUGGAGGCUGCUCCGCCGUGGGCAGGAGGAGAAGGAAGAGAACUGGGUGCCGCCUGCCUGCACUCUCUCCGGAUGCUGGAGGCUGGAGGCAGUGAGGCAGCAACAGCGCGAGGGCGAGGCGACUUUGGAGCUGCCUCAUGCAGCGACCUCGCCUUCCGCUGCGCCUCCUCCCAGAACCCAAGAAGCCUGGAACCUGUGGCGUCCAGCCCUGAAAGGAGGAGACGGCAACCCAGCCGCGCUUUUGCCUGCACUCUCCCUGGAUGCUGGAGGCUGGAGGCAGUGACGCAGCAACAGCGCGAGGCGACUUUGGAGCGGCCUCAUAUAGCGACCUCGCCUUCCGCUGCGCGUCCUCCCAGAGCCCAAGAAGCCCGGAACCUGUGGCAUCCAUCUCUGAAAGGAGAAGACGGCAACCCAGCCGAGGCACUACUGGGUUGGGGUCUCCACGACCGAGCUGGUCUCAUCAAGUGGCGUCCAACAAGGGGCUCAAACCCGGGUUGAGGGGUUGCUGGAGCGACGGAGAACGUGGAACUACACUGGAGGACACCAGAGUACUCUUAAGCAAUCCCUUGGCCAAAACCAGCAACUGAUUUGGAUACCAUCAAGACACCUGAAAUCUUGUCAUGAGCCAGAUACUGAGGAAGAGAUUUUGGGAAGAACCCAAGGACCCCCCAGUUGCAGCCAUGUCAAGACUGACAAUAAGGAAGACAUCAGUCCCAGCAAGCAACAUUCAUCGGGCACAGCCACCCAUGUGGGGCCAGAUCAAGAAGUUGACACAGAUGGCGGAAGAAAAUCUGAAGAAAGCGGAUGACCAGCUACAAUGAGUAAUCUAAUGUCUGCAGAUGUGGAUCCCGAAUCCUGCGAGAAGUAGCCCACCAUGACGAAGCUGCCUUUGCUUUUAUCGCUUUGCAAAAACAGAAAAGGGGACAUGCUGGGAACAGGCCCUAAGCCUGUCAUAAACAGGCCUUAAACUGACCAUGAACAGGAUUUCUGCACGAAUGUGACGUGCUCCUGAUGGCUAUGACGCCCACUGCUAGAAGUUGUUAGUUUACUGGAGCAGGGUAGGGAACACCUGGCCCACCCGGAGCGGAAAACUGCUCAAACCACAAACAACAGCAUGAGUGGCCUGAGCCUUAACAACAUGUUUUUGCUGCAGAUAAUCGGCCAGAGACUGUUUCUCUACUCCUCUCUAAGUAUGCUUUGUUUUUCGUAAGGAAUGCUUUUAGCUAAUCUGUAACCUAUAGAAACAAUGCUUAUCACUGGCUUGCUGUCAAUAAACAUGUGGGUCAAACUCUGUUUGUGGCUCUCAGCUCUCAAGGCUGUUUUCCCCCUGAUUCCCACUUUGCACUUUAUUUCUGUGUGUUUGUCUUCAUUCCUCUAGCACCACUGGGUUGGGGUCUCCUUGACCAAGCUGGUCUCGGCACAUAUGCAUGUAUGCCCAGGUCCUGAAAUCAGCCUUGUGGAGCCUGUGGGUAGGAAAAGUCAACCCUCUGUGCAUGUAGGCCUGGAACCUGACCAAUACUGUAUUUUCCUACCACGUUUGGUUUCAAAUGUGGAAACUGCCCAUACGGACCUACUGCAUUUGUUUUUAAAAAUCCUCUGUAAGUGGACCUGCACAGUUCAGGCCCAGAUUGUUCCAGGAUCAACCCUACAGUAGAAAUCAAGUAUCUUUUUCAUUGUCUCUUGGGAUCUGCCUUUUCACCAAUAAAAUAUGAGGGCUGUUGGGAGCAGGCCCCCCCAAAUCUGGCCAUAAACUGUCCCCAAAACUGGCCAUAAACAAAAUCUCUGCAGCACUAUAACAUGUUCAUAAUGGCCAUAACGCCCAAGUUGGAAGGUUGUGGAUUUACAGGAAUGAGGGCAAGGAACACCUGGCCUGCCCAGGGUGGAAAACCACUUAAAGGCAUUCUUAAGCCACAAACAAUAGCAUGAGUGAUCUGUGCCUUAAGAACAUGCUCCUGCUGCAGUUAACUAGCCCAACAUAUUCCUUUAAUUCAGUCCAUCCCUUCGUUUCCCAUAAGGGAUACUUUUAGUUAAUUUAAUAUCUAUAGAAAGAAUGCUAAUGACUGGUUUGCUGUUAAUAAAUACGUGGGUAAAUCUCUGUUUGGGGCUCUCAACUCUGAAGGCUGUGAGACCCCUGAUUUCCCACUUGACACCUCUAAAAAAAAAAAAAAAAA